CAAUAGCGUAUAUUAAAGUUGUUGCAGUUAAAAAGCUCGUAGUCGGAUUUCUGGUGGGAGCGAUCGGUCUGGCGCUUAGCGCGAGUACUUGCAUCGUCUCCGGCCAUCCUUGGGGAGAGUCUGUCUGGCAUUAGGUUGUCGGGCAGAGGAUCCUCAUCGUUUACUGUGAAAAAAUUAGAGUGUUCAAAGCAGGCUUAUGCCGUUGAAUAUAUUAGCAUGGAAUAAUAAGAUAGGACUUUGGUACUAUUUUGUUGGUUUGCGCACCAAAGUAAUGAUUAAUAGGGACAGUUGGGGGUAUUCGUAUUCCGUUGUCAGAGGUGAAAUUCUUGGAUUACGGAAGACGAACUACUGCGAAAGCAUUUACCAAGGAUGUUUUCAUUAA
rnacentral:rRNA from 1 species